GCCAAAUAUCGUGUAGGUCUCCCUCGCGAUGCCAAAAAAGCUGUGAAGCAUCGUGGCAUGGGCAGCACAAGACCCCUGAACAUAUCCUGUGGUAUCUGGCACCAAGACAUUAGCAGCAGAUCCUAGCUGAACUAUGUCUUCUUCCCAUAGAGCAUCCUGCUGCCAUGUCGUCUCCAGGAAAAUAACACAAUCACAACUGGCCAUCCACCUUAUGUAAAAGAAAAUGUGAUUCAUAG